CACGUAGGGGGCGAGCGUUGUCCGGAUUUAUUGGGCGUAAAGAGCUCGUAGGCGGCUCGGUAAGUGAGGUGUGAAAACUCCAGGCUCAACCUGGAGACGCCACCCCAUACUGCCGUGGCUAGAGUCCGGUAGGGGAGCAUGGAAUUCCUGGUGUAGCGGUGAAAUGCGCAGAUAUCAGGAGGAACACCAGUGGCGAAGGCGGUGCUCUGGGCCGGAACUGACGCUGAGGAGCGAAAGCGUGGGGAGCAAACAGG
rnacentral:rRNA from 1 species